GACAGAGGGUGCAAACGUUGUUCGGAUUUACUGGGCGUAAAGCGCGUGUAGGCGGCUUUGCAAGUCGGAUGUGAAAGCCCACGGCUCAACCGUGGAAGUGCAUCCGAAACUGCAUGGCUGGAGUCUCGGAGAGGAAGGUGGAAUGCUUGGUGUAGAGGUGAAAUUCGUAGAUAUCAAGCAGAACACCUGCGGCGAAGGCAGCUCGCUGGGACGUUACUGACGCUGAGACGCGAAAGCGUGGGGAGCAAACAGG
rnacentral:rRNA from 1 species